rnacentral:rRNA from 1 species
UUGAGCGGAGAUAUAUGGAGCUUGCUUUAUAUAACUUAGCAGCGAACGGGUGAGUAACACGUAGAUAAUCUAUCCUAUACUGGGGGAUAGCCCGAUGAAAGUUGGAUUAAUACCGCAUAUAGCUAUAUAGUUGCAUGAUUAUGUAGUGAAAGAUUUAUUGGUAUAGGAGGAGUCUGCGGCCCAUUAGCUAGUAGGUGAGGUAAAGGCUUACCUAGGCGACGAUGUGUAGCCGGUCUGAGAGGAUGAACGGCCACAAUGGAACUGAGACACGGUCCAUACUCCUACGGGAGGCAGCAGUGGGGAAUAUUGCACAAUGGGGGAAACCCUGAUGCAGCAACGCCGCGUGAGUGAAGAAGGUUUUCGGAUUGUAAAGCUCUGUUAGCAGGGAAGAGGAAGGACGGUACCUGCAGAGGAAGCCACGGCUAACUACGUGCCAGCAGCCGCGGUAAUACGUAGGUGGCAAGCGUUGUUCGGAAUAACUGGGCGUAAAGGAUGCGUAGGCGGUUAAACAAGUUAUAUGUUAAAUAUAUAGGCUUAACCUGUAGAAAGCAUAUAAAACUGUUUAACUAGAGUGCAGGAGAGGUAAGUGGAAUUCCUAGUGUAGCGGUGAAAUGCGUAGAGAUUAGGAAGAACACCAGUGGCGAAGGCGACUUACUGGACUG